UUUAUUAAGGUGAUGUGAUAUUCUAACAUUCUAAGCACUAUCCAGUAUGUUGUUUUUUUAACAAAUUACAUGGGGGAUGUAAUAUUCUAAACUUCAAACAGUGUAUUUUCUAGUUUUAUUAAGGUGAUGUGAUAUUCUAACAUUCUAAGCACUAUCCAGUAUGUUGUCUUUUUAAACUAAGUACAUGGGUGAUGUGAUAUUCUAAACAUGUAGUAGUGUAUUUCUAAAUUUUAAAAAGGUGAUGUAAUAUUCUAACAAUCUAAGCACUAUCUAGUAUGUUGUUUUUUAACAAAAUAUAUGGGUGAUGUAAUAUUCUAAACUUCAAAUAGUGUAUAUUUUAAUUUUAUUAAGGUUUCUUCUUGUUGUCCCUGGCCACUAGCAUUAUGUUUUGUUGCAUGUUAUCAGACUUGUAUGGUCACUACUUUUGAAGCCUUUCUGACUGAACAAUACCCAGCUGUUUGUCAUCAAUGCCAUCUAUAUCAUGUGAUGUAACACUGACUGCUAUCACUUUUAAAAAAAAACAGUUAGUUAAAGUCUCCUUCAAUCUGUUUCACUCAUUUAGUACGAAUCAGCAGUGAACUUAUAAAGAAGUUAUCAAACAAGUUGGAAGACUGAAAACUUUGAUACACUCAAAAAGUUACUUUUUAA